GAAUGUAUGAUAAUCUUAUGAUGCUUUGCAUUUAAUAAUGCUGUUCAAAAAUACACCACAUCUCAUUAGGCCAUGGCGACUGUGGCAAAGAGAUGACCAACCUCCAUGAAGUAGUUCAUAUCUUCUUACAUGUACAAGUCUAGUGAAU